rfam:Stegodyphus mimosarum contig56423, whole genome shotgun sequence.
GCCUUCGGGGUGUAGUGGUCAGCAUGUUCGACACGUAAUUGGGAGGUCCGUGGUUCGAGUCCCGGCGAAGGCG